CCUUGAGCCUUUAAUAACUAUGAACAGGAUCAUCCAUAAAGUGGUCAAUUCUCAAAAUGCUAGACCAGAUGUAUCACUUUGCUUAAUGACAAGCUCUACGGAUACUAACUCAUCCUCAAACAUCAAAAUGAAAUGUUUCAGGCCUUAUAUACCAGGAGCAGAUGAUAGAACAAACAUCUAGCAGUCUACAAUUCAUUGAAAGCUGAACUUCAGAAACAGUUAAAUCCAAAAUAUAUCAUUUACUUGAUCACUAUAGACCAGAAGAUAUUUUGUAGUUUGAAGUUUGAACAAAUUUCUUCA
rnacentral:misc_RNA from 1 species